AUCGAACGCUGGCGGCAGGCUUAACACAUGCAAGUCGAGCGGAGAUGAGGUGCUUGCACCUUAUCUUAGCGGCGGACGGGUGAGUAAUGCUUAGGAAUCUGCCUAUUAGUGGGGGACAACAUUCCGAAAGGAAUGCUAAUACCGCAUACGUCCUACGGGAGAAAGCAGGGGAUCUUCGGACCUUGCGCUAAUAGAUGGGCCUAAGUCGGAUUAGCUAGUUGGUGGGGUAAAGGCCUACCAAGGCGACGAUCUGUAGCGGGUCUGAGAGGAUGAUGCGCCACACUGGGACUGAGACACGGCCCAGACUCCUACGGGAGGCAGCAGUGGGGAAUGUUGGACAAUGGGGGGAACCCUGAUCCAGCCAUGCCGCGUGUGUGAAGAAGGCCUUAUGGUUGUAAAGCACUUUAAGCGAGGAGGAGGCUACUGAGACUAAUACUCUUGGAUAGUGGACGUUACUCGCAGAAUAAGCACCGGCUAACUCUGUGCCAGCAGCCGCAGUAA
rnacentral:rRNA from 1 species